CAGCAAUCCUGCAAGAGGGAGUGAGGCUUCUGAGAACACACUCAUCUCUAUCUCCCUACUGCCAGUGUUGGUCUCAUAUGGAUGUCACUUAAACUGAAACUAAUUAAGAAACAUCUGCAGACAACAAAACAGUGUCAAGUGUGAACAACAAAAUUUCUUCUAAGAGAAGAGUAGAGCACACUCUCAACAAUUCUGGGAAAGCUCUGUCCAAACAAAUGCCAUGUUUAUGUCCUCACUGGAGUUCCAGUGUGUUUCAACCUGUCUCUCAAGAGCGCUGCAAACCAAGACAGUUUGACCCAGACAUUGCAAUCAGCAAUACUAAUUAAAUUUCAAACACCAUCA